rnacentral:rRNA from 1 species
AGCGAACGCUGGCGGCAGGCUUAACACAUGCAAGUCGAACGCCCGGGCAACCGGGAGUGGCAGACGGGUGAGUAACACGUGGGAACGUACCCUUUGGUUCGGAAUAACUCAGGGAAACUUGAGCUAAUACCGGAUAAGCCCUUACGGGGAAAGAUUUAUCGCCGAAGGAUCGGCCCGCGUCCGAUUAGCUAGUUGGUGAGGUAACGGCUCACCAAGGCGACGAUCGGUAGCUGGUCUGAGAGGAUGAUCAGCCACACUGGAACUGAGAGACGGUCCCGACUCCUACGGGGGGCAGCAGUGAGGAAUAUUGGGCAAUGGACGCAAGUCUGACCCAGCAACGCCGCGUGGAGGAUGAAGGUCUUUGGAUUGUAAACUCCUUUUGCAGGGGAAGAGUGAGGACGGUACCCUGAGAAUAAGUCACGGCUAACUACGUG